AAGAGUUCCAGACGGUGGGGUAGUGGAAUCAGCACAGAAGGGAGGGAGAGUGGGAAGGGAGGGAAAUUUCUAGAGGUCCUGAUUUAGUCCUGGCCAACUGCUGUCACAGUACUCUGAAGCUACCCCCGCCCAGUACUUCCAUUCCGUGUCUUGGACAUUUUGAUCCAGGGGCUGUCAAAUACCAGACUCCUGCUCUAGCUGUGUGUGUCUUCAGUGUCCACACAAGUGGCAGUAGCCAGCUCUGAGUGUCCUCUCUGCAUCCAUGAGUAAGUCAAUGUGAGGUUUCAGGCAAAUCAGAUGAACACCCAUAAACUAGGGUGAUAGCCACUUCCUGUAAAGAGGAACUAAUUAGCAAUUAUAAUAACGAGAGAGUGGUCAAACUAACAGCCAUGUUUAUCUAGUAAAUCAUCUGAGGUGAGCCACCAGUGCCACCAGAGGAAUCUCCACUGGUUUACUAGGGAAAGAAAGCCACAUGCAACAAACGGGGCUCAGCAGCAAGGACUUGCUAGAGAAGGGGAGGUCUGAAAAGAGUGACAGCUUUGAAUACGAAAUGUGCUGGGAUUCCUGGGAAGGAAAUACCAAUCCCUGUGGCCUCCCGGGCACCUGCUCAGCCGGUGCCCAUGUCAUUUGGACGUCAGACCAGGCCCUCAAUUCUGCCCUGGGAUUUCUACAGUAAUAUAUGCUUUUUAUUUUUCUAAUGAUUAUUACGUUGAAGACUCUCUGGCUGCUCCUUUCUCUCUCCCAGAAAUCAAGGCACACACCUCUACAGCUGUCUUCAGAGAGUUGAUAAGCAAUGGGUGCUGUGACCCUGCCGCUCUCACAUAACUGGGUUCCCUCCUCCUCCCCUUCUGCUGCUGUGAGCGAGGCCUGCCUACCUCCAUACUGCUCGGAUCCAAGAUGGCCUGGAGUUACAGCUCGAUUUUUUCCUUGUUGUCUUUGAGACAGGGUCUCUCUGUAGUCCUGACUGUCAGGGGGCUCACUGUAGAAACCAGGAUGGCCUGAAACUCAUGGACAUGGCUUUGCUUCUGCCUCCCAAGUGCUGAGAUUUAAGGUUUGUAUCACUAUGCCCAGCUAUAGCUAGAUUUUACCAGUCUCUUCCUAACUUCUAGGAUAUAGGUGGGGUCCCAUGGUCCGGAACUUGCUCCCUUGAAAGCCGAUCAGAGCAAACAACCCUUUUGAUUUCCUAGAAAUGAAAGGUUCAACUCUCCCUUCCAGGGAGUGGUUCAAAGCUCUAAUUCUUCUAAUUUGGGGGAAACUGAGGGCAUGGAAAGCGCUUUCUCUUCAGGACCCUGGCAUGCUACUCAUGGUGGCGAUCUUGGCUAACGAAGCUCUUCCUGAGACCUGAAGACCUGCUCUCCUCCUCCAGGCCAGAAUGUUGUGACUCUGCCAAUAAAACUCAUAUGUAGGGUAAACAUAUCUCAGCUUCCCUUCUUCCUGCAUGUGGAACAAUGGUUGCUAUUCUUUCCUAUGCCUACGGUGUCCUGAUGGGUACUAACUAGUAUAACUUUAAAGGAUUGCGUUUUUUAUAACAUUAGGCUCAUCACAGUGGUUUCUUUACCCCUGUAGAACUCUUCCAGCCUUGAGCACUAAUGUUCAUAAUGAGUGCCACAGCCAGGACUACAGAGCGGCAAGGAAUGGAGGAAGGAUGGUGUGAACAUGCUACAUUCUAAGUUCCCACUCCCAUGGACCAAGCCGUACCAGCCAUCAUGCCUUCCAUGCCAUGAUGGAAACUAUGAGCCAAGAAGAAAUAUCGUCUUCUUUAUGUUGCUUCCAUCAAGAGUUUCAUCAGAGUGAUGUCAAAAGUAGCUAAUACACGUGGCCUAAUAUGGCAUUUUCUAACUGGGUGGAGACUACUUCAGAGAUCCCCAACUGGUCAAAAUGCAGACGACACAUUAUUCCUUCAGUGUUUGAGUCCAUACCAGACUAUCCUCUGAGACAAAUCCCAAAGAUCCUGUUCCCAUCUUUCCAGGUGGGAGAGAAAGAUCAAAGAGAAGACCACCAGGCAUGACCAUGUUGAGACCUCCCAGCCUCCUUACUGAUCUGGGCAGAAUUGAACACCUGUGAUGGAAGGUUCAUUUGCCAAUUUGAUUGGGUUAAGAACACCAAUGGCAUUAAGAAAGUACACUUUUGGAAGUAUUUAUGAGUGUGUUUCCAGAGAGAAUUAACUGAAGGGGGUUAGAUCAGCUUUUAAUGUGGAUGACAUCAUCUCAUGGAUUGGGGUCCUUGAAUUAAAAAGGGGAAAGCCGGCUGAGUACCAGUAUUCUUCCCUCUCCACUGGUAUACUGAGAUGUGAGCAAGCCCUGGCAUGGGUUCCUGCAGUCAUCCUACCUGCCAUCGUGCCUUCCUGGCCAUGUUGACUAACCUAACCAACCAACCAUAGCUAAGGAAGUCAUCGAUUCUAGAGGAGAGCCUAUUACUUCCGUUUCCCUAAUUUAUUCAAUAUAAUUUCUAACUGCAUUCUAAAUACCCACCCUUAUACCCACAGAUAAGUGCAGCUCUCGCUACAGUGGACUCUGUUCCCUCGAACUGUGAGCCAGAAUAAAUCCUUCCUCCCUUAAGUUGUCUCUUAUCAAA